CCCAGUUAGUAAACAUUUCGUUCUAAUGCAGGCUUGCUGGAAGAAGACCGGACUUGGUGCUCUUAGGCCUGUCUCUUGAACCUUACCCAGGAGAUAAAACAGAGAACUCUGUUCCGAAGAAUGACAAUGAAUGUAUAAAUACCACACAGCGCACAUGGGGAAAACCCUGACCUAAACUGACCUGGGCAGAAUCAUCU
rnacentral:lncRNA from 1 species